GAUGAACGCUGGCGGCGUGCCUAAUACAUGCAAGUCGAGCGAACAGACGAGAAGCUUGCUUCUCUGAUGUUAGCGGCGGACGGGUGAGUAACACGUGGAUAACCUACCUAUAAGACUGGGAUAACUUCGGGAAACCGGAGCUAAUACCGGAUAAUAUUUUGAACCGCAUGGUUCAAAAGUGAAAGACGGUCUUGCUGUCACUUAUAGAUGGAUCCGCGCUGCAUUAGCUAGUUGGUAAGGUAACGGCUUACCAAGGCAACGAUGCAUAGCCGACCUGAGAGGGUGAUCGGCCACACUGGAACUGAGACACGGUCCAGACUCCUACGGGAGGCAGCAGUAGGGAAUCUUCCGCAAAGGGCGAAAGCCUGACGGAGCAGCGCCGCGUGAGUGAUGAAGGUCUUCGGAUCGUAAAACUCUGUUAUUAGGGAAGAACAUAUGUGUAAGUAACUGUGCACAUCUUGACGGUACCUAAUCAGAAAGCCACGGCUAACUACGUG
rnacentral:rRNA from 1 species